UACGAAGGGGGCUAGCGUUGCUCGGAAUGACUGGGCGUAAAGGGCGCGUAGGCGGUUCGUACAGUCAGACGUGAAAUUCCUGGGCUCAACCUGGGGGCUGCGUUUGAUACGUGCGGGCUUGAGUUCGGAAGAGGGUCGUGGAAUUCCCAGUGUAGAGGUGAAAUUCGUAGAUAUUGGGAAGAACACCGGUGGCGAAGGCGGCGACCUGGUCCGAUACUGACGCUGAGGCGCGAAAGCGUGGGGAGCAAACAGG
rnacentral:rRNA from 1 species